rnacentral:rRNA from 1 species
AGAAUCAACGCUGGCGGCGUGCCUAACACAUGCAAGUCGCACGAGAAAGUGGAGCAAUCCAUGAGUACAGUGGCGCACGGGUGAGUAACACGUGAAUCAUCUACCUCCGAGUGGGGAAUAACCUAGAGAAAUCUGGGCUAAUACCGCAUAACACUUACGAGUCAAAGCAGCAAUGCGCUUGGAGAAGAGUUCGCGGCCGAUUAGCUAGUUGGCGGGGUAAUGGCCCACCAAGGCGAUGAUCGGUA